GAUGAACGCUGGCGGCGUGCUUAACACAUGCAAGUCGAACGAACGACUAUUAACAGAACCUUUCGGGGCGAAGAUGAUAGAAGUUAGUGGCGGACGGGUGCGUAACGCGUGGGUAAUCUGCCUUUGUCAAAGGAAUAACUAUUCGAAAGAAUAGCUAAAACCGUAUAACAUAUUAAUAGGGCAUCCUAAUAAUAUCAAAACGAUAGUGGACAAAGAUGAGCCCGCGUCUGAUUAGCUAGUUGGUGAGAUAAAAGCCCACCAAGGCAACGAUCAGUAGCCGACCUGAGAGGGUGAACGGCCACAUUGGAACUGAGACACGGUCCAAACUCCUACGGGAGGCAGCAGUGGGGAAUAUUGCACAAUGGGGGGAACCCUGAUGCAGCAACGCCGCGUGAGUGAAGAAGGCAUUCGUGUCGUAAAACCCUGUAGUAGGGGAAGAAAGAAAUGACAGUACCCUAAAAGAAAGCCCCGGCUAACUACGUGCCAGCAGCCGCGGUAAUACGUAGGGGGCAAGCGUUAUCCGGAAUAACUGGGCGUAAAGGGUGCGCAGGUGGUUUAACAAGUUAGUGGUGAAAGGCAUAGGCUCAACCAAUGUAAGCCAUUAAAACUGUUUAACUUGAGUGCAGGAGAGGAAAGUGGAAUUCCUAGUGUAGCGGUGAAAUGCGUAGAUAUUAGGAGGAAUACCAGUGGCGAAGGCGACUUUCUGGACUGCAACUGACACUGAGGCACGAAAGCGUGGGGAGCAAACAGG
rnacentral:rRNA from 1 species